rnacentral:lncRNA from 1 species
CAUAUCAAAGUCUAUCUUCUUGAGCUAGUUCUUUUAUUGCUUGAGAAUUUUGUAUGUGCACACAAUGUAGUUUGCUCAAGUUCACUCCAUCCCCUUGCUCCAAGUCCUUCCCCAUUAUUCCAUCAUCAACCCUUCCCAACUUCAUGAAGUCUCUCCCCGAGCCCCCCCCAUUAAGUCCGUUCAUUGCUUCCCUGCGUUGUCAGGGUGCAGGGCCAUCUCUCGGGAGCAAAAUCCUUGAAGAAACGGACUCUCGCUUUCCUGGCAGCUGGCAGUUCCCAGUAGCUCCUUAUCUAGGUAUGAGCAGGACUUCGGCAAGCACCACCCUGGAUUUUGUUUGGCUUGAUCUUGAACACGUCUUACGUAGGCUGCCACAACAACUCUGAGAUAUGCCAUCCCUUCC